UACGUAGGGGGCUAGCGUUGUCCGGAUUUAUUGGGCGUAAAGAGCGUGUAGGCGGCCAUGUAGGUCCGGUGUGAAAACUCGAGGCUUAACCUCGAGAUGUCAUCGGAAACCAUUUGGCUAGAGUCCGGAAGAGGAGAGUGGAAUUCCUGGUAUAGCGGUGAAAUGCGCAGAUAUCAGGAAGAACACCAAUGGCGAAGGCAGCUCUCUGGGACGGUACUGACGCUGAGACGCGAAAAGCGUGGGGAGCGAACAGG
rnacentral:rRNA from 1 species